AGCUAUGGCAUCCUCUUUCCUUAAAAGUGCUGCUGGUGAAGAGAACGAUUCAUAUUCUCCAUAUUAAAAAGGGGACACAUGCACAGUGAGACUCACGUGGUUAAUAUUCAGGCUAUAAACAAGAGGAGAAGAUAGAGGCCUGCUGAAUCAAAAGGAAUUAACUUUUAAUGGUCAAAUCUAGAAUUAGAAAGUUUAUUUUUUAAAAAUAUUUAAUUAUACAUUAAAAAAAAAGAGCAUCUCAGUUUUUACAGUCUUGAUAAUAACUCUCAUGCCAAAACAGUAUAGAAAAACUAAGUUUACUUUGAAGGUAAAUAAGAAAGCAUCAGGAAGCAUUGAGGACUGGCUGAUUCAUAAAAAUCAGGAGCCAAAUAGAUAACAAAGCCAAUACAUCAGGGCCUCACUGCCAGAGUACCUCAGCGAAGCAAGCUGGGCAAGCUAGGUUCAGCCAAGGGUCUGGGUCACACAGCAAGCAAUGGAGUAGGUCUGAGGUUAAGCUGGGAAGGCAGCCACUGGUUAGCCUCAGGUCCACUGAGGAUAACUGCAAUGAAACACAGUGAUUACCAGGCAGAUCCCUACUGGGGGAAAAAAAAAAAAAAAAGUUAAAUUUGAAGGUUAAGCUGUAGGUCAAGAUUGAGAUGAAGAGGGCCUACAUCUAGGCACAGCCAGGGCUAAGCCAGAGACUGAUACUCCUACAACAUAUCUUAGAUAUAGAUUAGAGGCACAGGGCUCAGCUUAAAUGGGGCUCCUGAGCUCAUGGCUGGGGUAGGUGAGGCUUGCUGGGGGCUGUUAAAGCCGAUUAGUUCACUCAGAACCCUGACAAGUUAUUUAGGACAAAUGAGGACUAACAGAAAGAAAACAGAAGCGUUGGUUAUAAUAUUUGCAUCGAAACAGGGUUUUCAUACUUAAUAUUAAAUUAAGGCCUUCACUGGGCAUUCAUAGGUAGGGUCACAUUAAUGACAAGAAAUGUUUCUUUUCUCAAGAAGUCACCUACCUUUCACUUUGUAGGACACUGAUUUUUGAUUCAUUAAAACAAAGUCUAAACCAAACUUGUCAUUAGAGAUCUGUGAUCCCUAUGGGACCAGCCUAUGUGUUGCAUCUCGAUAAAAGAAUGUUUUCAGGUUUUUUUUAAUUCUGAGAAGAGUAUUUACUGUACUCAUAUGAAGUUCUGUCAGUGAGUGAAGGAAUGCCAAGUGUUUUUGCUGCUUGUAGAGUAUUUGUUGUCUGUUACAUGUAGUUGUAUUGAAUUUCAUAGUAUGCUGUUGUGUUGCAAUAACUUGUUUUGAUCAGUUACGCUGUCAUUUGUUGGGAGACAGAAAUCAAUUUAUCUCAGCUUCAGUAUUAUGUGGUUUAUUUCAUGUUUUAUGAACCUUUAUUUUUUAGUUUAUAGCUUUUAUAUCUUUUGAAAGUACAACAGUCUUCUGAUUCCUUUUUUUAUUCUUGAGUGGUUAUUUUGCCUUUACUGUAGUCUUUCUUUGAACUUCUCUGUUGGAAACAUCUGUUUUCAUACUGGGUGCAGUGCAUUUUGGAAGCACGUAAGACUUGUGGAUAAGCUGGCAUUUUUGUAUUUUAUUCUCAUUUUGAAUUCAAGUAUUAUGUUUGCUUGUUUUGGCUACGUUUUUCAUAGGAAGCAGAGAUCUUCAGUGAACUGUAUGUAAUCCAGGGUGAUCCUUCCCUGCUUUGACUUUCUUCCUAUGCUUUGAAAUGCUGGGACCUUCAUUUACCUUCAUUCUCUGUCCCUGACAUUGUUUGUUUGCAGCAGACACAUCUAAGUAAAGCCUCAGGCAAUCCUGUUGUCCAGGUUCUCUGGAAUACCAGGCAUACUUUGUUCUUGGUUUGUCUAAAAUUAUUCUAGAAAUACUUACCAAUGAACUCUGAAGGUUUGAUAUUUGCAAGUAGAAUACCAGUAUCAUUUGCCCAGUCAUCCACAAAAAAAUAUUAAUCAAAGGUGGCAUUAGAGACUAUUACCCCUUGUCAGAGUGUCUCUAAAGAAUUGUGCCCUUUUUUGAAGAAGUGCCUUUGCCUUUUGGGUCUUUCAGAACUUUCAGACUUGAUUAUAGUGGUAAUUUCUGAUAUAAUGUUUACUUUUACCUUAGAUUUUCUGCAGUUAUAAAGUGUCUUCAAAGUUUAGCAAGAACUGAAAAAACAUAGGAAGGUAAUACCUAUCAGAGGCAGCUGGUGACUGAGUAUUUAUGGCAGUUAUUCAAGCAGAGGACAAACACAGUUUACUCAGAAGCAAUGCAGGUAUAGGUCUCACAGCUGCACUGGUAUGAUCUGGCCUUGUAUUGAUUUAGUAGGAAAGAGAGCUAGCCUGCAGAAUUUGGGGCAGAACAGUUCUCAGUUAGAAACUACAUUUCAGCAAAAACAUUAUUCAUUACAGCCUACUGAUGUUCACUAAAUCUCCACAAAUAUUACUCAACCAAAAUUCAUUUCCAAGACUGCUAUUAAACUGCUGAGAAAUCAGAAUCAGCCCAUCAGUGAUUUCAGCGAGGGUCUGCUCGUGCUGCCAGAAAGGGAUGGUUAUUGAAUUCCCAUGCUGAGUUUGCUGCUGCCAACAGUGUUUGUAAGCGACUGUUCCUAUGCCUAUUUGAAAUUAAGUUUCAGACUGUGGUGCCUACAUCAGCUUCAUCAUAAAGCUCCAGGAAGAAUUGUUGUCAACUGAAUUUCUCUUAAGAAGUGUGUCAUCUGCCAAGCAACACAAAACCGUUAUUGAUCUGAGUGGGCUGAAAGUACAAAACCGAUCCUUGAGGUUGAACAGCCUUUCAGAAUACUCUCCAAGUAAAGGACAAGCCAGAGAAGGGGAUGACUGUCAGAGCAACACAGCUCUGGUGAUGAACGCUCCCAAUGCUGAGCAGCACCAGGGCUCUCCUUUCAGCCUCAAAGCCAGAGAAGCUGCAGCACGGUGUGUGCAGUGUGUGCAGGGGAUUUUCAUGCUCCCUCCUGCCUGCAGCCACAUUCCAGCAGUGCCAUGUUAGCACAUGACCUGAUCGGCGGUGAAGACUGACUGGAGAAAGUGAAGGCCUGUCCUGGUAGGCUCAGGCCCUCCUCUUAACUGCUUGCAGCAGAGUUGCAUCUGUCCUGGGGAAAACAAUGGCUUUUAAAAGAGAAUAUAUAUAUAAAAAUAACUACAGGCAGUUAAAAUUAUCUUCUUUCUACUUAUUGUGAAAGAUUCUAUCGUGACUUUUACCAGGUGAUGAGAAAAUUGCUCAUAAUCAUUCACCGAGGGAAAUAUAUUUCAGUAGCUAAUGGAAUGAAUGGAGAUGCCUCAUCUUAUUCCAUACUAAACUCCUGUGGAAUUUCAGUGUCUUGUACCAUGUGGCAACUGCAUCUGGGCCCCUGUAUUUGUUGGAAAUAAUAGGAGACAAGGUAUGAGAGGUACCACCUCAACAAGGUGAACAAACCUGCUUUGACCUGCAGCAGGAGUUGAGAUGAAGAGGAAGAUACUUCUGACUGCUGGAGGGCUUAAGAUCUCAAUCAGCCCUCACCCCUUUAAUUAGCAUGAAGCUGCGCAGGAGUUGCAGCUUACAGCACUGGGCCAUAGAAAGUCACAGGAAUAGUCUGCCUGCAACUGAUCAGGAAUUGGGUAAAUGCUACCCUGGGGCUUCGUGUGGUCACAGAUUGGCAUUGCCUAAACUGGCUCUGCAGUGUAAGCAGAAAGUUAUAAUGUAUUUGGCAACAUCAUGCAGCAAGAUGCAGUACAGUGGCUCACCAAGCUGAAACGUAUUUCUCACAUAUGAGAUUGUUAAAGGGUUAAACUGAAAGAAAAACAAAACAAAACAAAAACAUCUCUUAAAAGGAGGGGGUUUACAGAUCUCUUUCCUAGGAUUGAAUCUUGUCUCUCAUAUAUGGCAUUCAGUUUUGCCUAAACUAGAGGAAAAAAC